GGGGUUGUGGCUCAAGGGGUAGAGCGCUCACCUGGCAUGUGUGAGGCACUGGGUUCGAUCCUCAGCACCACA
rnacentral:tRNA from 1 species